rnacentral:rRNA from 1 species
UAGCUAGUUGGUAGGGUAAAGGCCUACCAAGGCGACGAUCGGUAGCUGGUCUGAGAGGAUGGCCAGCCACACUGGAACUGAGACACGGUCCAGACUCCUACGGGAGGCAGCAGUGGGGAAUAUCGGACAAUGGGGGCAACCCUGAUCCAGCAAUGCCGCGUGUGUGAAGAAGGCCUGAGGGUUGUAAAGCACUUUCAGUGGGGAGGAGGGUUGAUUGGUUAAGAGCUGGUUAAUUGGACGUUACCCACAGAAGAAGCACCGGCUAACUCCGUGCCAGCAGCCGCGGUAAUACGGAGGGUGCGAGCGUUAAUCGGAAUUACUGGGCGUAAAGGGUGCGUAGGUGGUUUAUUAAGUUAUGUGUAAAAUCCCUGGGCUCAACCUGGGCAGGUCAUAUAAUACUGGUAGACUCGAGUAUGGGAGAGGGUAGUGGAAUUUCCGGUGUAGCGGUGAAAUGCGUAGAGAUCGGAAGGAACACCGGUGGCGAAGGCGGCUACCUGGCCUAAUACUGACACUGAGGCACGAAAGCGUGGGGAGCAAACAGGAUUAGAUACCCUGGUAGUCCACGCUGUAAACGAUGUCAACUAGCUGUUGGUUAUAUGAAUAUAAUUAGUGGCGC